AUGGAGGCUGGAGAGGAACUGCUGCUGCUGGCCGAACUCAAGCCCGGGCGCCCCCACCAGUUUGACUGGGAACUCAAGCCCGGGCGCCCCCACCAGUUUGAUUGGAAGUCCAGCUGUGAAACCUGGAGCAUCGCCUUCUCCCCAGAUGGCUCCUGGUUUGCUUGGUCUCAAGGACACUGCAUCGUCAAACUGAUCCCCUGGCUGCUGGAGGAGCAGUUCAUCCCUAAAGGGUUUGAAGCCAAAAACCGAAGUAGCAAAAAUGAGACGAAAGGGCAGGGCAGUCCAAAAGAGAAGAUGCUGGACUGUGGUCAGAUUGUCUGGGGGGUGGCCUUCAGCCCAUGGCCUUCCCCACCCAGCAAGAAGCUCUGGGCACACAACCACCCCCAAGUGCCCGAUGUCUUUUGCCUGGUUCUUGCUAUGGGACUCAACGAUGGGCAGAUCAAGAUCUGGGAGGUGCAGACAGGGCUCCUGCUUUUGAAUCUUUCUGGCCACCAAGAUGUCGUGAGAGAUCUGAGCUUCACACCCAGUGGCAGUUUGAUUUUGGUCUCCACGUCACGGGAUAAGACUCUUCACAUCUGGUACCUGAAUAAACACAGUAAACAGAUUCAAGUGUUAUUGGGCCACCUGCAGUGGGUUUACUGCUGUUCCAUCUCCCCAGACUGCAGCAUGCUGUGCUCUGUAGCUGAAGAGAAGUCAGUCUUUCUAUGGAGCAUGAGGUCCCACACGUUAAUUCGGAAGCUAGAGGGCCAUCAAAGCAGUGUUGUCUCUUGUGAGUCCUCCCCCAACUCUGCCCUGCUUGUCACAGCUUCUUACGAUACCAACGUGAUUAUGUGGGACCCCUACACCAGCAAAAGGAUGAGGUCACUCCACCACACCCAGGUUGACUCUGCCAUGGAUGACAGUAAUGUCCACAUUAGCUCACUGAGAUCUGUGUGCUUCUCUCCAGAAGGCUUGUACCUUGCCACGGUGGCAGAUGACAGACUCCUCAGGAUCUGGGCCCUGGAACUGAAAACUCCCAUUGCAUUUGCUCCUGUGACCAAUGGUCUUUGCUGCUGCACAUUUUUUCCACAUGGUGGAGUCAUUGCCACAGAGAUAAGAGAUGGCCACGUCCAGUUCUGGACAGCUCCUAGGGUGCUGUCCUCACUGAAGCACUUACGCCGGAAAGCUCUUCAAAGUUUCCUAACAACUUACCAAGUCCUAGCACUGCCAAUCCCCAAGAAAAUGAAAGAGUCCUCACAUACAGGACUUUUUAAGCAA